UAGGGCCUCUGUUGAUGCAACCACUC
rnacentral:piRNA from 1 species